rnacentral:tRNA from 1 species
GCUCCCAUGGCGAGUUGGUCACUGCGCUCGCCUUGCACGCGGGAGACCCGGGUUCUAGUUCCGGCGGGGUCA